rnacentral:rRNA from 1 species
UACGUAGGGUGCAAGCGUUGUCCGGAAUUAUUGGGCGUAAAGAGCUCGUAGGCGGUUUGUCGCGUCUGCUGUGAAAACGCGAGGCUCAACCUCGCGCCUGCAGUGGGUACGGGCAGACUAGAGUGUGGUAGGGGAGAUUGGAAUUCCUGGUGUAGCGGUGGAAUGCGCAGAUAUCAGGAGGAACACCAAUAGCGAAGGCAGCUCGCUGGGACGUUACUGACACUGAGGCGCGAAAGCGUGGGGAGCGAACAGG